rnacentral:rRNA from 1 species
CCUACGGGGGGCAGCAGUGAGGAAUAUUGGUCAAUGGACGAGAGUCUGAACCAGCCAAGUAGCGUGAAGGAUGACUGCCCUAUGGGUUGUAAACUUCUUUUAUAAGGGAAUAAAACGAGGCACGUGUGCCUUUUUGCAUGUACUUUAUGAAUAAGGAUCGGCUAACUCCGUGCCAGCAGCCGCGGUAAUACGGAGGAUCCGGGCGUUAUCCGGAUUUAUUGGGUUUAAAGGGAGCGUAGAUGGGUUGUUAAGGCCGUUGGGAAAGUUUGCGGCUCAACCGUAAAAGUGCAAUUGAUACUGGCAGUCUUGAGUACAGGUGAGGUAGGCGGAAUGCGUGGUGUAGCGGUGAAAUGCUUAGAUAUCACGAAGAACCCCGAUUGCGAAGGCAGCUUACUAAACUGUGACUGACAUUGAUGCUCGAAAGUGUGGGUAUCAAACAGGAUUAGAUACCCCAGUAGUC